AUUGAACGCUGGCGGCAGGCCUAACACAUGCAAGUCGAGCGGGGUUUUCGGACCUAGCGGCGGACGGGUGAGUAAUGCGUAGGAAGCUACCCGAUAGAGGGGGAUACCAGUUGGAAACGACUGUUAAUACCGCAUAAUGUCUACGGACCAAAGUGUGGGACCUUCGGGCCACAUGCUAUCGGAUGUGCCUACGUGGGAUUAGCUAGUUGGUGAGGUAAUGGCUCACCAAGGCGACGAGCCCUAGCUGGUUUGAGAGGAUGAUCGGCCACACUGGAACUGAGACACGGUCCAGACUCCUACGGGAGGCAGCAGUGGGGAAUAUUGGACAAUGGGCGCAAGCCUGAUCCAGCCAUGCCGCGUGUGUGAAGAAGGCCUUCGGGUUGUAAAGCACUUUCAGUAAGGAGGAAGCGUUGAGUGUUAAUAGUACUCAGAGUUGACGUUACUUACAGAAGAAGCACCGGCUAACUCUGUGCCAGCCGCCGCCGUAACAC
rnacentral:rRNA from 1 species